UACGGGUUGAAGCAUGACCGUAAGGACAUGUGGACAGUAUGGGAGUGAGAAUGUUGGCAUGAGUAGCGAGAUGUGGGUGAGAAUCCCACAGGCCGUAAACCCAAGGUUUCCAGGGGAAGGUUCGUCCGCCCUGGGUUAGUCGGGACCUAAGCUGAGGCCGAAAGGCGUAGGUGAUGGACAACAGGUUGAUAUUCCUGUACUACCGAUAACCGUUUGAGAGAAGGGAUGACACAGUAGGAUAAGCUAAGCACACUGUUGGUUAUGUGUGCCCAAGCAUUGAGGCAGUCAAAGUAGGCAAAUCCGCUUUGAUAAUGCUGGGAUGUGAUGGGGAGCGAAAUUUAGUAGCGAAGUAGCUGAUUUCACACUGUCAAGAAAAGUCUCUAUCGAGGUUAAAGGUACCCGUACCGCAAACCGACACAGGUGGGUGAGGAGAGUAUCCUAAGGCCAGCGAGAGAACUGUUGUUAAGGAACUCGGCAAAAUGACCCCGUAACUUAGGGAUAAGGGGUGCCACCAUCAGGUGGCCGCAGAGAAUAGGCCCAAGCGACUGUUUACCAAAAACAUAGGUUUCUGCUAAGUCGCAAGACGAUGUAUAGGAGCUGACGCCUGCCCGGUGCUGGAAGGUUAAGGGGAUCUGUUAGAG
rnacentral:rRNA from 1 species